rnacentral:rRNA from 1 species
GCACCACAAGAACGCGUGGAGCAUGUGGCUUAAUUUGACUCAACGCGGGAAAUCUUACCGGGUCCGGACACACUGAGGAUUGACAGGCAAUAUCUCAUGGUUAUUAACCCGGUUAUUACAUUUUGUUUAAUCGGUUAUUAAGCAUCGAGUGUUAAAUAUGCUAGUCCUUUCAUGAUUAUGUGAUAGGUGGUGCAUGGCCGUUCUUAGUUCG